GAUGAACGCUGGCGGCGUGCCUAAUACAUGCAAGUCGAGCGAACUGAUAAGGAGCUUGCUCCCUUGACGUUAGCGGCGGACGGGUGAGUAACACGUGGGUAACCUACCUAUAAGACUGGAAUAACUCCGGGAAACCGGGGCUAAUGCCGGAUAACAUUUAGAACCGCAUGGUUCUAAAGUGAAAGAUGGUUUUGCUAUCACUUAUAGAUGGACCCGCGCCGUAUUAGCUAGUUGGUAAGGUAACGGCUUACCAAGGCAACGAUACGUAGCCGACCUGAGAGGGUGAUCGGCCACACUGGAACUGAGACACGGUCCAGACUCCUACGGGAGGCAGCAGUAGGGAAUCUUCCGCAAAGGGCGAAAGCCUGACGGAGCAACGCCGCGUGAGUGAUGAAGGUCUUCGGAUCGUAAAACUCUGUUAUUAGGGAAGAACAAAUGUGUAAGUAACUGUGCACGUCUUGACGGUACCUAAUCAGAAAGCCACGGCUAACUACGUG
rnacentral:rRNA from 1 species